CGCCUGGGGAGUACGGCCGCAAGGUUAAAACUCAAAUGAAUUGACGGGGGCCCGCACAAGCGGUGGAGCAUGUGGUUUAAUUCGAUGCAACGCGAAGAACCUUACCUACUCUUGACAUCCUAAGAAGAACUCAGAGAUGAGUUUGUGCCUUCGGGAACUUAGAGACAGGUGCUGCAUGGCUGUCGUCAGCUCGUGUUGUGAAAUGUUGGGUUAAGUCCCGCAACGAGCGCAACCCUUAUCCUUUGUUGCCAGCGAUUUGGUCGGGAACUC
rnacentral:rRNA from 1 species